ensembl:lncRNA
UGCUGUGUCUCCUACCACCUCCCAGCAGCCAAAGCGAGGCUGUCCACCCAGAGAGCUGGGAGCCUUGGGCCCUGGAGAAACGAUCCUGGCUUUCUCUCCAACUUUCCAUCUACGGAGGAUUCCUGCCAAUAGCUGCCUGCAAUUCGUUCUGUGUCAAACACAGUCUGAGUCCAGGUGCUACAGGAGUUUGUAAACACUGGGCCUGCUGGACUCUGUCCCUGAAGCCCCCAGCUUCCCAGAACCCAUGGCCCCAGUUCCUGUUCAGCUGCUGCUCUUUCUGUAAGGCUCUACAAGCCCCACUGCUCCUUCUGGUACCUUGAAAUCUGGAGAACUGGGCUCUGCCCUGGCUCUGUCAUCACCCAAUGGCAUCUGCUCUCAGGCUGUGGCCCCUGUUCUGGAUGGUGGAGAGUCUCUGGUGAAUUUUUGGCAGCCAUUAUCAAACCUCUGCUUUACAAUAAUUCCUUUGGUGGUAAUGAGGAAGAGUUUGUAGGUAGGGGCGUUCUGAAGGCAGGGGAGUCUUUUGGAAGCCAUUGCAAUAAUCUAGGCAAAAAAUGUGUCAAGAGCCUUAAAUUAUGUCAUGGAGGAGGGCAUAGUGAGCAUGGAGUGAUGGCUCACUAUCCUCUAUUGUGUGUCCUUGAGGCCUGGGGAAAUGUGAGACAGAUUGAUGGACCUGGAGCCAGCAAUUCUAUAUCCAGUGCCACUUUAAAUGAAGAAUGUGAGAGUCUCUUACCUACUGGGCACUUCCUAUGCCCCAGAGGCUUAACAUCCAUCAUCUCUUGUAAUGAUCCCAACAACACUGUGGAGCCAUUACUGCCUCUCCUCCACCAUUCUACUAUGGCUAAAAGAGGUUAGGCAAUGCCCAUGGAAAGUUGAUGCUAAGUGGUUGGCCUGGGAAUUCUGAUCCAGAGUUAGCGGGGCUGCAAAGCUGGGGUCCAUUCCUUUCAUAGACUUCACACGCUGCCCAGUGGAUUUGUCUGGACAUUGUUCAGAGGCCAUGACAGUCAUGUUUUGGAGAGCUGGCCCAGUAGAAAAUUAGUAUGGACUUUGGAAGCCACAAGACAGAAAAAAAGACCUGAGGAUAAGCUACCCAAGAGGACAGGUGGAAAAUACAUGUUUGGAGCUUAUGUAGUUAGGUUGGCAAAGCCCUGCUACCUUUCUUUCAAAAACUAAGAAAAAAAAAAUCUAAAUUGCGUAUGUAUUAGGACACAAAUGUCAAAGCAAGAGUAGGUGUUGCUCUCUGGGAUCUACUGGGACCAAAAUGUCUGAAGUGGAAACUAGGCUGGAGAGGAUCUUUCUGGAAGAGCCCCGUUUGCCCUGGACUAACAGCUCCUGCCUCCAGCUCUGCUCUUUCUUUUGUCCUCUACCAGCUUUGAGGAGAAUUAGAAAACACUGCCAUGGUGCUAAAAGUCCUCGCCAGAGAGUCAAGCACUCCCUCUAAGGCAGUGGUUCUCAAAGUUUGGUUCCAGACCAGCAGCAUCUCCAUCACUUCGGCACUUGUGAGAACUGCAAACUCUCAGACACCACCUAAGCAUCCUGAAGCAGAUAUUCAGGGUCUGGAACUAACGCCCAGUGUUUUAACCAGUCCACUACAGGAUUGUGAUUUGAGCCAACGUCUGAGAAGUACUGCAGGAAGUGAUAAUGUGACCGUAUGGAUGUUUAAUUGAAUGCUUUAAUGAAUUUAAAAUAUUUUCCCCUCAAUGUCCUGGUCUUCCUUCCUCCAAAUGAAUCAAGAAUUUCCCCCAACAAUCACUUAAGGUCCAGCAGAAUCACAGGCAUGUGGCAGUCAAAGAGUAGGCGUGAGGAGAGAGACCAUAGUAGGUUAGAAUUCAAGUCCCGUCCUGGCUUGUUUCAUUUUGUUUUUACUUUGGUUGUCCUGAUUUCAGUUUCAAUCUCACCCCCUCAGGCAAAGCAUCUCAACCUUCUUGGGCUAGAUUAGAGGCACCUGUCACAUUUUCCUAGAAUCAUUCUGAGUUCCUGCUUAUCAUCACAGUGCUCAUCACAGUUGCACGAUCACCUGUUGACUGGCCCAUCUAUUGCACUGUACGGCCACGGAGGGGGGGUGCCUGUACUCUUCUUUUUCAUCCUUGUAUCCCCAGAGUCUAGCUGAGGGACAGUCGGUAAAUAUAUGUUUAGUUAGCUGAACACCAAGCUCAUGUUAGCUUACCAGGCCUUGUUAAGAUGGUUUCCUCAGCUAGAUUGUUUCUCUCCAGCUGGACCUGUGGCUUUGUCUAUGUUCUUAUUCCAGCCUUGGCUGCCAGGUCACCAUCUCCUGACUAUGCAACCCAACCCAAGCCCUGAAUUGGUCUCUAUCAUCCCUGCUGCUUUGAUUUCGGCAGAGUGUUUAUCACUAUUUGACAGAGUAUUAGAUUAUUUUAUAUUCUGACCCCUACACCCACACCCCUAGAGUGCAAGUUUCAAAAUCAGAGGCUGGUCUCUCUUGCUCGACUGUGUAACCCCAGUACAUGAAAACCAGCACAUGAAAAUCCAAAAAAUGAUUUUUGGAUGAUGCAUGACUUUUCACUGACUCAUUUAUUCAAACAUGCAUACAUCAUCUGUGUAUGAUCAUUUUAGAGAUGGAGAAAAAUAAACCCCAGAAGAGAGUGAUACGCCCA